rnacentral:rRNA from 1 species
AUUGAACGCUGGCGGCAGGCUUAACACAUGCAAGUCGAGCGGGGGAAGGUAGCUUGCUACCGGACCUAGCGGCGGACGGGUGAGUAAUGCUUAGGAAUCUGCCUAUUAGUGGGGGACAACAUUCCGAAAGGGAUGCUAAUACCGCAUACGUCCUACGGGAGAAAGCAGGGGAUCAUUUGACCUUGCGCUAAUAGAUGAGCCUAAGUCGGGUUAGCUAGUUGGUGGGGUAAAGGCCUACCAAGGCGACGAUCUGUAGCGGGUCUGAGAGGAUGAGCCGACACACUGGAACUGAUACACGGCCCAGACUCCUACGGGAGGCAGCAGUGGGGGAGAUUGGACAAUGGGGAGAACCCUGAUCCAGCCAUGCCGCGUGUGUGCAGAAGGCCUUUUGGUUGUAAAGCACUUUAAGCGAGGAGGCGGCUCUCUUGGUUAAUACCUGAGAAGCGUGGACGUUACGCGCAGAAUAAGCACCGGCUAACUCUGUGCCAGCCGCCGCAGUAA